rnacentral:lncRNA from 1 species
CGCUAACACUAAUUAAAAGUAUAUAAAAAAAUCCACUCCUAUUAUUAAAUGAAAAAAAAUCACAGAUUGGUGUAGGUCUUCUUCUCCUUGCUCGUUGCUCUCUAAAACUUUUCCCACUCAAUUUCCUCUCUUAUCAAAUCUCUCGAAUCUAACUGCUCAAAUCACAAAUUGUGACCCAUCUGAUAGCAAAGCAAAAGCCCUAAUCAAAAAAUGUGACUCCAUCAGGUAUGUGCUCUAAUCUUAAACUCAAAUUCCUUUUCGGUGGUAUAUACAGUUAGCGAGAAUGAUAAUUUCAACGAUUUCACAUAGGAUUUUCACAGACUUCACCUAUAAUUUCUCUGACCCAGUUGAAAAACUAUAGGAACGAAAAGAAAUUCAUACAAUAACAAUCCAUGGUGAGGAGUCAGCGGGGAUUUUGGGUUUUCAGUCUGAUGCUCAACUUUUCUCGGCCUCCGAAAAAAAUUAGUAAACUAUUUUUUGAUCCGCUGUCUUGAUAACACUCUCCAAUCUCUCCCUAUCUCUUUCUCUAGCAAAAUCGAGUAGUAAUUCUGUAUUAAUCAUAAAAGUUGGGUUGUUCUUUUCUUGGUAGCAGAAGCACGAACAUUCGUAGUUUUUGGGUUUUUUUUUUUUUUUUUAUUUUUUUAGGGUUAUUGUUGUUUCAGUUUGUUCUGUUAGUAGAGAAAGGAACUAAGAGUAUUUGUAUUGGCGGAAAGAGGAGGAAUAAAAGUUCAGGUAGUGAUUGAGAGAACAUUGAAGGAAAUAUCAAAUGGUAAUUUUGUUCUUGACAUGAAGAAUAAAUGUGGUGUUGGAGGUAUUGAGGUUAUGUUUUUAGAAGAUAGAGCUACUGAAGAUUAGCCUAUCACCCCAUGAACCUUUUCUGUUGCCAGGUAAUCCAAACUAUUUGUUGACUAAUUCUUUGAUUGUCUAGCUUUCGCUUAACGUUGCUAUGGACUGUGUUAACUUUUCCUGCUAUACCCCAAAAGAAUAUGAUAGUGCUUCAUAUUUAAUUGUGCAAUAUUUAGUUAUCUAUAAACUAAAAUAGUGGGAUGUAAUGUGUAGUUGAAAAUAGUGUUAUUAUCCUCUUUUUUCUUUAGAUUAAGUUCUAUUCAGUUAGUUUCCUGCUCCAGGAGAACCAUUUAGUUAUCAUUGAUUUAUGCAGCUGGAUUUAUUAAUUAAUGGGUGUUUGGUUAUGAAAAUAAUUGAUUUAGUUUAUGUGAAGUUGUCAACUAUUAGUCCUUCUUGACAGUCAUCUUUAUAGAGUUGUGUUGAUAUAACUUUUUAUGGGAUUCACACUACAACAAAGGACUUGCCUUCCCUGUGGUGGAGAGAGAUGCUAUCACGCGACCUUCUACCUCAUAAUUCUUCAGGUCAAGAACUUGCCUUCUCUGUUUCAAGCCAAGAACUUCAGGUCAUUUCAUAAUUCUUGACUUAUAACCUUGAGUUCGUUCUUCCAUUUCCACUCAUAAUAAGACUGGUAAUAUUUUCUGUCAAAUAUCAGGAGAAGAAAUUAAUGCACAAUUUCUUUCAAUAUUAAGUUUCCUCGUAAGGAUACAUGGCUAUGUGGUUCUUCAGGUAGUCUUACCUCUCACUAUAGCAGUGAAAAUUUCACAUCAUGUUCAUUAUAUGAACUUAAAUGGAGUUGGUAUGAGGUUAGAGAUAGCAUGGUUAUAUUGUCCAUCACGUUAAUGGAAUUACCUUGUAGCAUGGCUAUAUGGUCAUAUAUGUUUAAUUUUCUCGUUCUCCUUUUUAUUUUAUCAUGUUUUUUCCUUUUUGUGCCCUCUAGAACAAAUGAUUUAAGCUCCCAUUUUUGUCAAUUGUACAUUUAAAAUCCUUUUACAGUAAGUCUAAGGGAAUACAAUUCCAUUAAAAUAUUACUUGACUAUUCUAUGUUAUUUCAUGAUGAGUCUACUUUGUCACCAGACCAAUGGGUGAUUUUAUGUCUAUGCUGCUAAAAUUCUGCUGAUAACGUAUUAUUCCAAUGCUCGGGAAAGAAAUAAAAAGUUAUCUUACAAGUUUCUUAUCGAUUAUUCCAUGUGCUGGAACUUUUUAUCCAAGUCAUUAUUGUUACUGAUGGAGAGCGAAUAUUACGACGUGGUAAUCUUGGUUGUCAGGUAAAUCUUUUAAAUUCUACUAGCUAUUAGAUUUGUUUUCUAAUAGUGUGUUAUUUGAACAAUUGGAUGGAACUAAUUAGAGAGACAAUACUGACUAUCUCUUACUUUACUUGUACACGGUACCAUGUUGAUAACAUACUUGACCGAAAGUUCCAAUGUAGUUUCAGGGAAUUAUUAUAGUGCUCUUGGAGGUGUUCGUCCCUCAUCCUGAUUAUGUUAGUAUUACUAGCAUUACCAUUUAUGUGUUUUCUUUUUUAUUUUCAUUCUUACUGUUAUUACUAAUCUCAUACAUUCUCUUUUUGAACAAAAGUAUCGAUAAGAGGCUCAACUUUUUUUCCAUUUCCCUUCUCUGCUAUCUCUUUCUUGGUCUUUAGAUUUUAUGCUAUAUUCCUAAUUAAAUCGGGGUAGUCUCUCAUCUAUCUCUUUCUCGGUCUUCAAGUUCUCAUUUUUUUAGCAACUUUUUGGUACCUUAAUCAUCACAGUAAUUUUUUGUUGAUUAGCUUAUUGAUCUUAAUAGAGUUGGGAUCGGCUGUGUUUAUUUACUUUGACAAAAAGCUAAAAAGAGGUGAAUGUUACGCCAACUGAUAAUUGUAGUACCAGUUGAUUCAUUUGUGUGUGGCCUUUAAUAGAUUAUUUGGAGUUUUGCUGAAUUGAGCUAAGAAUUUUCCAGAAUAAAGUUUAUUGUUCAAUCUAAAAUCAAUCUCCAGAUAAUAGGAGUCCCCAUCAGUUAUUUGUUUAAUGCUCUUUCAUUUCCCCCAUUUUGAUGGAAACUCUUGGCUCUGUUUCGAACCAGUUAUAAUUUUCAUUAUGUCUAUUUGUAUUGUCGAUUCUGUUUUGCACUUUUUUUUUAUGAUCAUAUUUAGUAAUUUAUAAACUUUAUGCAUAAUUAAAUAAGUUUAUUGACACUUGAAGCUUCAACCUAGGAAACUAUAUUGAGUUUUCUUUAAAUUCUCAUGCUUGUGGUAUUUGAGUUUGGUUUUCUAGCUGCUCCACUUUGACCCACUUGGGCAGUUUGAUAGUUUCAAAUUUCUGAGCUUAGUUCGCUUGGCAAAACUAUUUUGUACAACUUUCCUUGGUCAAACUUUUCCUUUGCUUUUUUAAAUGCGUUUUGCAAUCUUUUACUCCAAUCUAUUGGCCAUCCUUUUUUACUAUUAACAUUGAGAAUUGUCAAAGUGAUCUCUUGUUUGUUUUUCUUAAUAACAGGGGUGAGGCUCUUAAUCAAUCACAAUUGUUGUCGACCAUGGAGGAGUUUGAAGGCCCUAAAUCAUAGUUAUUAUUUUUCUUAUCAUAUGUAUAUGAAUACAAUGACAAUGAACGAUGAAGUAUUGUGUAAUACAAAUUAAUUGAUAUUUUGGUAAUGGAAGUAUAUAUAAUAUUCAGUUUGAGAAAUACUUUUGGUA